ACACAUGUGCCUAAUCAUGUGUGCGUGUGUGUAUACACUCAUAUAUAUACAUGUACAAUUUUAUAUAAACGUAUCUAAACACAUCACACACAUAGCCACUACUUUGUAAUGUUGUACAAAAUGUUUUAUAUCUCGUUUUUUGUUACUAUUACAUUUGGCCCCUUUAAUGUGUUUUAAAUAGAUUAAAAAGGUAAAUUCUGUCGAUUAAGGCAAUUGAAUGACAAUUACUGAGCUAUCAAAAAAAUAUUAAACUGGUGUAUUUAAUGUGUAUUUACAUGUGUAUUUAAGGUACAGUAGAUAGAAUCCUGCCCGCCCGCAUGUCUAUAUCCCAAGCCCCAGAACCUGUGAAUAUGUUGGGUUAAAGGGCAAAGGCAAAUAAGGUUGCACGUGGAAUUAUGGUACUAACCUACUGACCUUGAAAGCGGUAGAGUAUGCUGGAUUCUCCAGUGGACCUGGUAUAAUCACAAGAGUCCUUAAAAGUAGAAGAGGGACUUGAGACAGUGCAAGUCAGAAAUGUGAGAUGUGGAAGAGUCAGAGAGGCAACAUUGCAGGCUUUGGUUACGUACAGGAGAUACAGGAAGAAGUUGCUGCAGUUACAGGAAGGAGCCAUAUGCCAAGGAAUGUAUAUAGAAAAGGCAAAGGAAGCUUCUCCCCUGGAGCCUCCAGAAACGAACAUGGCCCUGCCUCGACACUUUGGUUUUAGCCCGGUGGAACCUGUGUUAGACUCAUAUUUACAGAACAGCAAGGUAAUAAAUGGGUUAAGUCACUAAGUUUGUGAUAAUGUGUUACAGCAACCAGAGACAACUAAUAUACUCAGGACAACUAACUUUUUGGUCAUUUUUAUUUUGGAAAUACUGUUCUUGUUCAUUUGGGUAAUCUUUAUUCUGGAAAUACUUUGCUAAUCUGUUUAGAAUUUCAAUAAAUAUGAAAUAACUGAAAAUCUUGGUUAAUAUGCUACUUCAAAGUUACAGAUGCCUUCUGAGAAUGACUUAACAUGUUGGAUGCUCAUGUUUUCUCACAUUUGCACGGUUUUACUAUAAAUAAAAAUGAGGCAUGUUAAAUGCUGUGGUGUAUGAACAUCAUGUUCAGAUCCUUUUGUAAUGGGGAUAAUCACUGUCAUUUUGUUUUCUGGGCCAAGAGUUAGAGAAAAAUGAGCUCAGACCAAGGGGCUUUAUGUUACCUAGACAACCAUACAAAGCAGGAGUUCUUAAUUGAUUUCUACAGCCCUUUCCUGCUUGGAGGCAUCUAUGGUUUUGCAUAACCCCUGUCAUUUAAUUGAUAAUGCUGCAAGUUACCCCCUGCUGUGUUAUUGUGACCAAGACAAAAUGAACUCUCCCCUUGGUGUUCAUGAGCAGCUAUCAUGACAGCCAGCAGCAGUUCUGCCGUGACUGAUCACUUCCAGAACUGCUGCCCAGGACUCCUGGCUCCAACGGAGCUUCCAGGUUUCAAAUGAUGAGAAGAAUUAUAGCAACAAUGAAAACA